CACGUAGGGUGCGAGCGUUGUCCGGAAUUAUUGGGCGUAAAGAGCUCGUAGGCGGUGUGUCGCGUCGGCCGUGAAAACCUGCAGCUUAACUGUGGGCUUGCGGUCGAUACGGGCAUCACUGGAGUUCGGCAGGGGAGACUGGAAUUCCUGGUGUAGCGGUGAAAUGCGCAGAUAGUCGAGGCAGGAACAGCCGGUGGCGAAGCGGGUCUC
rnacentral:rRNA from 1 species